AGCUACUCCCCGAGUUACCAAAAGGGGCACCACCACCCGCCCCCUGGCCAGCAAAGAGGCCCAGGCGGGGGGAGGGGGUGUCCCCCUCUCCGGGGGGGCAGGCAGGCUGUGAGACCCAGGACUCGACUUCCUCCUCUAGCCUUCCGGGAGGUUCCCGCCCACUUCACUGCCAUCGGUCACGGAGGAAGUCACGUUCUGGCCUCAGAGCUGUUCUGAAGCUUCUGGAGGAAAAGCGGGGGGAGGGGGUGAAAUGGAAAGAGCCUUUGUAGGGGCCAAGAGACAGAGCCCCCUAGCUUGGUGUCUGUCACUAAUUAAAUGGCGAUGGGGUUAAGUGAUCUUCCGUUGCGUAGAUUAAAUCUCUCAUCUGUCAGAAAAGGGGUUGACCUAGAAUGACUGCGUCCCCUCUUCAGUGCUGAGGAGGCACAGUUGGGCUAAUGUGUGAGCACCAACCAGAAGCAAACUGUUCCCGUCACCCCAGGAAGAGGAGCUCCAGUUUUGUUUACCUGUCCCACCUGUUACCUGUUCGCGGCUCACAGGAAUGAAAGCCAUGAAGCGGCUGAUCCAAGAGAAGUAGGAUAUAUCUGUGUCAAGACAGCCCUGGAUUUGAGUCGCAGCUCUGCCUUGUUCGACUUCAAGAAAGUAACUUGAUUUUUUUGAGCUUGUUUCCCCACCUCUUUAAGUGAAGCUAACAACAGUAUGCACAUCACAAAGAUAGUGACGUGAGUAAUGAGUGGGACCAAACUUUCAUCACCGAGCCUGCACCCAGGGACCGCUCAGAAGUUUAACCCUUGCAGCGCGGCUCAAGUCCUCGCUCCCUGCGGGACAACCUGCGCGGGGCUCAGCGGAGCGCGGCGCGGCUAAGGCUGCGCGGGGGCAGGAAGGCGGCGCCAGCGGCCGGGGGAGGUUCCAGGUUUCCGCGCAGACUUCUGCGUACCCCGCCGGCUGCGUCACCAUCCGAAAGGGCAGCAGGGCCGGCGAGGGCGGGAGCGAGGCGCCGCUGGAAGCCCCGGUGCUCUUACCGAAAGCGCGAGCGCGGAGUUCCCAUUCGCGAUCGAUGCGGCUUGGCUGCGUCCCCCCCGCGUCCCCCCCGCGUCGCCUUGGGGCGCCGUUCCAGCUCGCGCUCCGGCUCCUCACAGAGUCCCGGGACGCGGGCGGCGGCGGCGGCCCCAGCGCGAGAGAGGGAGGGCGCCCACGCGCUUCUCAGUCCUCGGCCCCUACGGCGAAGCGAGGCGUUCUUGGCCCGGGUUGGGGGCCACCCGGAGCCCAGCUGGCCUGACCGCGCCGUAGUGCCUCGCAGUUCCCUAGCGGGGGCGGGAGUUGGCACUGCGGAAGCCUUCCCCACUUCUUUCCACCCCCAGACGCCCGUCCGACUCGCCGCAUUGCGCAAUUCCUGCCGUGGAAUUGCCGCGUGACUCGGACGGAGCCCAAAAAAUGUUUCCCAGGUUUCCCCGGCCGAAAAAGGAGCGGUUGGGUGUCCCGCCCUGACCUCCGGACGCCCUUUCAAUUGCAUUUUUUCGGGUGACUGGGUUGCCCUUUAAAAUGCAGAGGUUGCCCUUUACAAAGAAAGAAAAAGUCACUAACCGGCUGGAGCACGCGCUCUCGGUUGACGCCGGGUGAAGGCAAUUGACAUUUCCCCAUGAUAUUUUCAGACAGGGAAAGUGUUUCGAUCUCUUUGGGGGAGAAUUCAGGAGCUGGUUUUAAGGCAGGAUGGGGAGUGAUCCUUAAAGGAGUUGGAGACAAUCUCGAGCUUUCCAAGAAUCACAGUGUUAAUUAGUGCCGGUGGCGCAUAGUAGGUCCUGAAUAAAUUAGAGAGUGAAUGAAUAUUUUGGAGGAGGGAUUUAAAUGGUUGUCUGUAAACCAAUGCUUUCAUUUUGCAGAUGAGGAAAUCUAGAGGUUAAUUGAUUUGCCCAAGGUCAUCUACCAAUUAGUGGUGGAAGGCAGGAAUAGAAACUGUCUCAAUGUUUCAACUCCAAUGCUUGUAAUUAUGAGAUGGGUGUAUUUUUCCUUCUUUAUGAAAAUAAAAUGCCUUCUGCCGUAAUAUCUGCAAA